GCUCUAAUAGUAUAAUAAAUAUUACUUUGGUCUUGUAAACCAAAAAUGAAGUUCCCAAUCUUCUUAGAGCA
rnacentral:tRNA from 1 species